rnacentral:rRNA from 1 species
AGUCGAGGGGCAGCGAGAUUGAGGCUUGCUUCAAUUGUCGGCGACCGGCGGACGGGUGCGUAACGCGUAUGCAACCUACCCAUAACAGGGGGAUAACACUGAGAAAUUGGUACUAAUACCCCAUAACAUCUCGAGUGGCAUCACUUGGGGUUGAAAGCUUCGGUGGUUAUGGAUGGGCAUGCGUUGUAUUAGCUAGUUGGAGAGGUAACGGCUCACCAAGGCGACGAUACAUAGGGGGACUGAGAGGUUAACCCCCCACAUUGGUACUGAGACACGGACCAAACUCCUACGGGAGGCAGCAGUGAGGAAUAUUGGUCAAUGGACGGAAGUCUGAACCAGCCAUGCCGCGUGCAGGAUGACGGCUCUAUGAGUUGUAAACUGCUUUUGUACGAGGGUAAACCCGAAUACGUGUAUUCGGCUGAAAGUAUCGUACGAAUAAGGAUCGGCUAACUCCGUGCCAGCAGCCGCGGUAAUACGGAGGAUCCAAGCGUUAUCCGGAUUUAUUGGGUUUAAAGGGUGCGUAGGCGGUCAGAUAAGUUAGAGGUGAAAUUCCGGUGCUUAACACCGGCGCUGCCUCUAAUACUGUUUGACUAGAGAGUAGUUGCGGUAGGCGGAAUGUAUGGUGUAGCGGUGAAAUGCUUAGAGAUCAUACAGAACACCGAUUGCGAAGGCAGCUUACCAAGCUAUAUCUGACGUUGAGGCACGAAAGCGUGGGGAGCAAACAGGAUUAGAUACCCUGGUAGUCCACGCAGUAAACGAUGAUAACUCGUUGUCGGCGAUACAAUGUCGGUGACUAAGCGAAAGCGAUAAGUUAUCCACCUGGGG